UACGGGGGGGCAAGCGUUGUUCGGAAUUACUGGGCGUAAAGGGCUCGUAGGUGGCCAACUAAGGUCAGACGUGAAAUCCCUCGGCUUAACCGGGGAACUGCGUCUGAUACUGGAUGGCUUGAGUUCGGGAGAGGGAUGCGGAAUUCCAGGUGUAGCGGUGAAAUGCGUAGAUAUCUGGAGGAACACCGGUGGCGAAGGCGGCAUCCUGGACCGACACUGACGCUGAGGAGCGAAAGCCAGGGGAGCAAACGGG
rnacentral:rRNA from 1 species